UAUUCCAAAGAGAGGGAGAGCCACAUGAGGAAACUUCUCAGGUAAAACUCGGGGGGGGGAUGAGCGGCGGCGGCAGUAGAAUGCUCCUGCAACCUCGCGGCGGGCAGCCACAGCAGGCACAAGUGCUGUGUAAAGAGGAAUUGCUUUGAAGGGGAUCUGGCACCUUGGCCACCAGAGACACACAGAGAGAGCUCUUCACCUCCAUUCUGCUGCUUCUGCCUUCUCCUCCUCCUUGCUCUCCAGCGCUGUCUGCCUCUCCACUUCCUCCUUCGUGCCUCCUAACAUAGAGCAUGAGGGAAGAGCUACACCACGCAGAAGCCCAGUUUGAGCAAAGCUACGUGUCCCACAGCACGGCUCAUCCAACUGCAUCCAGAAGAAUUAUCAUGUUUUAGUAUAGGAAGUGACUCUAGAAAUCUUCCACAAAAGUAACCAAAACAACACCAAUCAUGUACAAGAGGGUGGUAUCAGCACACAUGAAGGAAUCUUAUGAUUUGGAGAAUUACAAAACUUUCUGGCUGGGAGGAAACGGAUUAGAACGACUGGAAUCCUGAAGCACUUCCCAUUAUCUCUGUAAGGACCGCAUUGGAACUUUGUUAGCCAUUCAUCCUACAAGUUCUUGAGACACAGAAAUCAUGCUCUGCAAAUUUGUUUAGGUUUUCAGUAAAGUAUAUCUGAAUUCCAUGCCAGAUGCUCUCCAGCUGGAAAACUGUGUUACUAGAACAAUGAUGAUCUGUGUAUUGUUGCUUUAAUCUCAUGUUUUAUCAGUCAUACAACUGGCUUCAAGUAAGAUGGCUUCAUAUUUCAUUGCAAAAUGUCUGGGUCUUUUCUUGUCUACAGAUGUCUAGCUUCAUGUCUUGAUUAUUUUCUGCAUAAAGAAUCAGAGUGGUAUAGUGGUUAGACUGGCCACAUUCACACCAUACAUUUAUUCCGCUAUCAUUCCACAGUCAUGGAUUCCCCCAAAAAAAGAAUCCUGGGAAGUGUAGUUUAUGAAGGGUGCUUAGAGUUGUUAGGAGACCUCUGUUCCCCUCAUAGAGCUACAAUUCCCAGAGUUCUCUGGGAAGAGAAACUGACUGUUAAACCGCACUAACAAUUGUAGCUCGGGGGGGGCAUGGGUCUCCUUACAACUCUCAGCACCCUUCACAAACAAUAUUUCCCAGGAUUCUAAGAGGAAAGCCAUUACUGCUUAAAGUGGAAUUCACUAAUAGGCAAAAAACCUUGCAGUUUAAGAAUGUACCUAUAGCCCACAGAUAUUUCUAUCAAACUUUAAAAAGCAGGGAAAUUGGGCAGCUAUAGUGAAUGCACCAGGGGAGCAGAAGACUUGACCUCCUCUCUGAGAUAUUGGACUGCCCUACAAAUUUGUCAAAAUGCAAACACAAUUUGGGUUGGUCUUUCACAGUUCAAUCCACUUCCUGUGUAGCUUGGAAGAAGUUGGUAACAUGUGUCUCUGCUUUUUAAUCCGGGAAGUAAGAAAUGGGAUCCUGUGCAAGCUUGCUGAGAAUGGAUUGAUCAUUUGCAUGCUUAUUGAGUUCAGUGGGAUUUACUCCCCUGCAAUCAUGCUUAGGAUAGGUGAAACUGAC